rnacentral:piRNA from 1 species
UGUCUUAUGGGCUACACUGGCUACUUGA